UUUGUCCUGAUGAUUAAAAGGAAUCUUUUCAGGGGCUUGUGGUUAGUUUUCCAUAAAUAAAAAUGUAAUAAAAUUCAAAAUGUUGAUGGUCAAGGUACUCCCACUUUCAAGAUAAUUUAUUUAUAAAAUUAAUAUUCCACUUUAUCAUGUUAAAAUUCAAUAUUCUUUUCUUUAUUUAUAAAAUUAAUAUUCCACUUUUUCAUUAUGUUCCAAUAGCUCAUAAUAUAUAUGUCAUUCUAUUUUGUAGUUUAUGAUGAAAUCUUAUAUAUUUUAAAUAUAAACAAACACUUAUUUACACGAAAUAU
rnacentral:lncRNA from 1 species